AGUCUGGUGCCAGCAGCCGCGGUAAUACCAGCUCCAAUAGCGUAUAUUAAAGUUGUUGCAGUUAAAAAGCUCGUAGUUGGAUUUCUGGUCUUGAGAGAAUUUGUCCGGGGCAUAUGAGCUUUUUUCCUUUCUUUGAGAGGGAUAGGCACUGGUCCUGUUUUCAGACUUAUUCUUUCGACCAUCCUUCGUGGAGAACAGUCAUGUGCCCUUCAUUGGGUCGGGCUGUGAUCCCGAUCAAUUACUUUGAAAAAAUUAGAGUGUUCAAAGCAGGCUUACGCUGUGAAUACAUUAGCAUGGAAUAAUAAUAUAGGACUUUGGUCUUAUUUUGUUGGUUCUGAGGACUAAAGUAAUGAUUGAUAGGGAUAGUUGGGGGUGCUAGUAUUCAACGGCCAGAGGUGAAAUUCGGUGAUUCGUUGAAGACUAACUCAUGCGAAAGCAUUCACCAAGGAUGUCUUCUUUAAUCAAGAACGAAAGUUGGGGGAUCGAAGACGAUCAGAUACCGUCGUAGUCUCAACCAUAAACUAUGCCGACUAGGGAUUGGCGGAUGUUGUUUUUUGUGACUCCGUCAGCACCUUAUGAGAAAUCAAAGUCUUUGGGUUCCGGGGGGAGUAUGGUCGCAAGGCUGAAACUUAAAGGAAUUGACGGAAGGGCACCACCAGGAGUGGAGCCUGCGGCUUAAUUUGACCCAACACGGGAAAACUUACCAGGUCCAGACAUAGUGAGGAUUGACAGAUUGAAGAUCUUUCUUGAUUCUAUGGGUGGUGGUGCAUGGCCGUUCUUAGUUGGUGGAGUGAUUUGUCUGGUUAAUUCCGUUAACGAACGAGACCUCAGCCUGCUAAAUAGUUGGGCGAAUAUAAUGUCAUGCUUUGUAGUGUUUUUGGGAGACCCCUCGUGGGUUUUCUUUGGAUACUCGGUGUGAUAAUUCGUGAUCAACUUCUUAGAGGGACUUUUGGUUUUUAGCCAAAGGAAGUUUGAGGCAAUAACAGGUCUGUGAUGCCCUUAGAUGUUCUGGGCUGCACGCGCGCUACACUGGCACGUUCAACGAGUAUACAACCUUGACCGGAAGGUCUGGGUAAUCUUUGAAACCGUGCCGUGAUGGGGCUAGAUUAUUGUAAUUAUUAAUCUUAAACGAGGAAUUCCUAGUAAGCGCAAGUCAUCAGCUUGCAUUGAUUACGUCCCUGCCCUUUGUACACACCGCCCGUCGCUCCUACCGAUUGAAUGAUCCGGUGAAAUCUCAAGACUGAGACAUGUGGAAGGGAUGGUUUAUCUGUUCUUUAUCACUAGUUUUGGGAAUCUGAUUAAACCUUAUCAUUU
rnacentral:rRNA from 1 species